rnacentral:rRNA from 1 species
AUUGAACGCUGGCGGCAUGCCUUACACAUGCAAGUCGAACGGUAACAGGUCUUCGGAUGCUGACGAGUGGCGAACGGGUGAGUAAUACAUCGGAACGUGCCUAGUAGUGGGGGAUAACUACUCGAAAGAGUGGCUAAUACCGCAUGAGAUCUACGGAUGAAAGCAGGGGAUCGCAAGACCUUGUGCUACUAGAGCGGCCGAUGGCAGAUUAGGUAGUUGGUGGGAUAAAAGCUUACCAAGCCGACGAUCUGUAGCUGGUCUGAGAGGACGAUCAGCCACACUGGGACUGAGACACGGCCCAGACUCCUACGGGAGGCAGCAGUGGGGAAUUUUGGACAAUGGGCGCAAGCCUGGUGCAGCAAUGCCGCGUGCAGGAUGAAGGCCUUCGGGUUGUAAACUGCUUUUGUACGGAACGAAAAGCCCUGGGUUAAUACCCUGGGGUCAUGACGGUACCGUAAGAAUAAGCACCGGCUAACUACGUGCCAGCAGCCGCGGUAA